rnacentral:rRNA from 1 species
UAAAUGCGGAAGAGAUAAGUGCUGAAAGCAUCUAAGCACGAAACUUGCCCCGAGAUGAGUUCUCCCUGACUCCUUGAGAGUCCUGAAGGAACGUUGAAGACGACGACGUUGAUAGGCCGGGUGUGUAAGCGCAGCGAUGCGUUGAGCUAACCGGUACUAAUGAACCGUGAGGCUUAACCUUACAACGCCGAAG